UCUGUUCCUCUCCUGUCGUUUUCCCUGCCGAAAAACCUUCCCUGUGCAGCUGGGGACCAACCUGUUCCGUGAGGAGCCCCUGCCUUACCUGGUGUACCAGCCCCUGCCCUGGCAGAUCCAGUGCGUGUCCCAGAGCCGCCGCACCAGCCGGGACAGCGAGAGAGGCAGGAGCUCCCGGCACAACAGCAUCUACUCGCUUUCUGGAGAGAAAGGCGACGUGACCCCUGAUGGCAGCAAGGAGAGCAAGGUCCCUGACCCAUCUGAGAGGGCAGCCAUCACCAUCCAGACCCACUUCAGGAGGUACCAGCAGCAGAAGCAGGAGAAGAAGUAGCCCCAGCAGCCCCCUGUGGUCUGCACUGUCCCUCCUGUUUGUGUGUUCUGUACCCCAGAGGCAUUUGGGGCUGUGGUGACUGUGAGCCUGCCCCGAUUCGUAGCUCCUGCUGCAGGUGUAGGUUCUCUGCCCUUGUGUUGGUGCUCACAGGGAGUCCUCUGUCCUGCUCAGUCCUUCCCCAGACAGCAUCACUUCGUGGCCAGGUCACAGCUGCUGAGGGGCUGUUGGGGACAGGGCACGGGUGUCACAGCACGGCUGGGAGCCUUGGCCAGCCCUUGAGUGAUGCUGUGAGCCCCAGCAGCUGUGUGGGUGGGAGGGGGUCCUGCACAGCACAGUCUGAUUCUGCAGGCUGGUCGCUGCCCAGUUGGGGCUUGCUUCACCCCAAGGACCCUCCCCUGUGCCUCCACCUCCUCCAUUCUGCCUCUGGAGCUGGGUAGAACAGUUGCCUUUGUCCCCUGCUCUGUGUGGCCAGCAGAGAGGCCAGCAGGGUGCGUGGGGCCAGCCUGGAGUGGGACAUUGCCAGGGGAACGUGCUGCAGGCGAGGAGGGGAGCAGGAGGUGAGCUGGGAGCUGCUCUUACCUUUCCUGGGGAGAGCUGCUUGGGGUGUCCUUGUUCCAGAGCAGCACUGGGUGGGACCCUGUGUCCUGAGGGUGACCCCCCUUUUCUUCUCCAGGCAGCCCCCUGGCAAUGCUGGGGUUGGGCUUGGAGCCCACCCAGCCCCCUGGCCUGCUCCUCUGGGGCAUUCCUGAGCUUGGUGGCUUCUUUGCUGUUGGGAGGCAGAGCUGGGCUGGCAUGGCCUGAGGGGGCUGUUCUCCUUCCCACCCUGCUGUGAAGGGCAGGGGGCUCCCUGGGAGCAGGGGGGUGGCAGGGGCUCAGGGGG